UGGCCACUGCUUGACCAUCUACUGUAAUUCAGAAGCACUUGAGGCUCACCUUGCACAAAAGAAGUGUCAGACGCUCUUUGGAUUCGAUUCAGAUGAUGAAAGUGCCUGAUUCAAUGUUGUGGAAAAGUAUCAGAUGAGGAGUGGUGUAAGGAAACACUACAUGAAGCAGCAUCAGUUUGUUUCCCAGUUGGCCUUAAUCAUGAAGCAGUCUCAAAUUCCUAUAGAAAAACAUGACCUUGAUAAAGACAAAGCACAUUUUCUAGACAAAACUCACAAAGGAGUAAUAGGAGCUCUGCAGGUCUUCAGAAAAGUUGCUACAAAACCUCCAAAGUACCAGUUAUCCAAAAAAGCCAUGUUCAUUCCAAAUGUAUGAUUGAAGCUUAAUGGCACAGCUUUUCUAGCAUGAAGGUUGAAGGAUGGUGAGGCAUAGAGGGGACAGGCGGAGGAAGUAGAGGUGUUCAUUGCCUUGUGGAAAUCCAACCAGCCAGUUCUGCAAGCUGCUGUAGUUUGUGUGGUUAAUGGGUACCUGUCCACACAGCUGAGAAGGAAUCAUUCAAGGAGGUGUUAUGUUUUUACCUUAUGGAUAAAUGCAUAAAGAAACCAUGCAUUUUUAAUUAUUUUUUUAAAAGUCUGAGUAUGUGAGUCCAUUAUCUGCUCAAAAGCAUGGAGCUUGUUUCGUAAACUUCUACUCAGAAUCCAAAGAGGAAUGUGGAAGGAAAUCUUGAGCUAGAUGGGAUGCUGGAAUAGCCAAAAACUUGAAAUACAGAACAAGCAGGGAAAAGAGAGUUGAUGUGCUAUUUUGUGAGACUUGCACACGGUGGCAAUCAGAUGCGUGCAAGAGAAGCCCUUUGCAAGGCUGAGGUAAAAGUGACUCCUGUAAAACAUCUGCUGUAGGUGUGGGAAGACCAACACAAGUGCUAGAUUGUGUGGAUAUUAACAGCAGCUGAUGGAAGCAAGUCUGGAAUGUUGGGAGGGCUAAGCUUGCAGAGUUAAACUAAUAUUCUGCAAGCACAGAGGUCCCUCAGCUGUUGGUAGGACAGACAAGAGCUUGAGAAGGCAAACAGAAGCAGAGCACAUCAGGUUGGGGUGAACAAAAGGGUCAGGAAGAACCUGUUUCACAUCUGUUAUGUUGCUUAAUGGUGGUGGGCCACAACUCAGUACUGUCACAAUUAUUCACUGUCUAGAAGGGAGAAAACAGAGAUUCUCUCAAUCCUCAAGACACACUGCAAUCCUAUUUCAUAGCAUCCCUUGAAAGGAGAGCUUUUCCCAGAGGCAGGUGAAGGAGUUACUGAAAUGUUAAGCACUUUAUUCACAAUUCACUGUUCACAGAAACAAUCACAAUGUGAAGACAGGAAAUAGUUGUUCUUCAAUUCUGUAUGGAAAAAUGAAAUACAGAAGAUUUUGAAACCAAAAAGAUGCCAUUGUAAUUUUUGGUCUUCCUACCCUAAGGCAGAGGUGUGGCAAACAUGCACAUUGUCCAAUUACUGUGCAAAUUUAUCCUCUAAUUCGUCUCACACUGUCUUGCCACAUCAUAUUUUUUUUAAUUUGGGAUCCCGUUCUAUGGAAAUCGUAGUGGGAUUGCAGGCAGGGGAGGCACAGGGGUGAAGACUGAUGUUCAGUUAUUCCAGAAAUGCAGGACAGCCCAGAGCAACUGUUCCUGCUCAGCUGUCCCCGAAGAGUUUGUCACAGUGUGUGCAGGGCUUAAAUCAACAGGUGGGUGAAAGUUAAUGAGUAAAAAAUCAGGGGGUGCAUAAAACCCCCGUUCAUUGUAGCAGUGGCUCACUCUUGGAAACCCAAGGGUUUCUCUGUAGGACUGGCUGUGAAGUAGUUCUGGAACAAACUCAGUAGUUCAGUAAUGCCUCUGCUAAUAAUCCUCUGUAGAACUAAACAGACAUUUGCAUUAAUUCUGCUUUCUUUCCCCUUCCUGCAAGGAAAAAGAAUGCAAAUUCAAAAUCAUGCUCUUGAGUUCUAGAAGAGUUUUGCCUUAACUUUGAGUUGGAUUAACAUAAAAGGUUAUAAAAUUAUGAUCACAGGUAUGUGUGCAUUACAUGAAUCCCAGUUAUGGCCCACUUCCAGAGAUUUGUAUCAUGUUCAAGGCACCAAAGAAUUUUUUUUGCAGUUGCAAAAAACCUGAUUUAAAUGCAUCAUUCAUUAUAUAUACAUAUAUACACACAAUAUAUAUAUUUACAUGUAUAAAUACAUUAAAAAGUUUUAAACAUAAAGUUAAUGGGGUCCUUAUCAGACAAAUGCACUUUCACAUUUUUUACUUUAAGAUACCAACUAAUUUUUAAGGACCCGGGUACUGCGUUGAAUGUUCCAAGGCUCUCCCUUCUUUGCUCGAGAUUGCUUAAAUAUAUUUGGGAAAAGUAGAGAAAAGGUUAAUUUUAAAGUAUUACAGUUCUGAAAAUCUAAAAAGUGAGUAAACAAAGAUACAACAAAGAUGAUUGUGUAAAAUCUUUUUAAUGUACCUUUUAAUCUUUGGUGCUUUUUUUCCUUUUCCCUGGAGCUCCAUAUGUUUGAAGAUGCUUUAAAAUCAUGAUUGAGACUUGUAUUAUCUUUGGUUUAAGUGUGUAGAUAAAUGCAUCUGUGUACAUGCAUAAACUGUGACCAUAAUUUUUUGUACCUGCAUUAAAAUAAUUUUUGUUCCAAGAUGCUUUUCUGGGACACCACCAUUUGUUUCUCUCAUGUAUUCAGUGUGUACACUCUGGAGAAUAGGAAAAAUGAAUUCUUACAUAGGUGAAGAUGAGCAUCACCUAACAAUUAUCAGGAAUCUGUUAAAUUGACUUAAAGUAGCAAGUGGGUGGUAACAUUUUAAAAUAAUUAUUUUUACUUCAUAAGACAUUGCAUUUUCUUUAAGCUACUCUCUGAUACCUGUUGGUAUUCUCAGAUAGUUGCAGUAUUAAGCAACUUUAAUCACAGGUAAAAAGAUACUUGGAUCAUGUGUGGAAUAAUUCUAAUCACGUGUGGAAUAAUUCUCCGUGCUUUUUAAGGAUUCUUUAUUAUUUUGAGUAAUACCCCAUACAAAGCCUGCAACUUGUAAGGCUGAAAAUAGUUUACAAGUCUUAAAAGUUGGAGAUUUUUCGUUUGUUUUCUUUUUUUUUUUCCCCAGACAUUAAGCAUUGUGUGAUAGAAUUGGAAGCCCUUGAAGAUGUAUCACUUUGAUUCAAUAAAUCCUGAAGUACAUGUGUAAUAUAAGCCUCCAGCCUUCCUUAAAGCUGCCUGAAGUUAUCCAUGAGCUUAGGAGCCUUGUUGGAUCAAAGUUGGUGCAAUUCAAUGCUCAUAAUUGUAUUUAAUAACAUUCCUCCAGUUGGAUUUGGACUUUCCUUUUAAGAAUGUCUCCUCUAACCUCAUCAUGUUUCACUGUAGAGGUCAUGGAAUUUCUAAUUUCAAAAAGCUGCAGCUCGGUGUAGGCACCUUUCACAAAAAAAAAAAAAAGAAUACUGAAAGUAGGUUUCAAGUGGUCAUAUCUGUGGGACAAGGUCACUGGUACUUUGGUUAUUUAGCCAUAUUCAUAAAAAUUAUAUGAAUUGUAUAGUUUGGAUAAUUUAUAACAUUAAACUUUGUGAUUUUAAUAUCACAUGGAAGGUUCAGCUGUACUCAUUUCUUUUAUUGUUUAACACCAGUGCUAUGGACAAAAGACCCAAAGGGGGUGGUAGUGUUACUAUUUUCUUAAUUUAUUUGGUACUGUAUAACACCUUUCUGAUUAAAUGCAGUGUAUGCAUUUUGGGACUCUUAAUUUGUAAAAGCUGUUACAGGUUCAGCAAGAAAGGAAAUUUGUGCUUCCUUGUUGAAUGUUAAAUUAUUUUACUUUGCAUUUUAUAUAAGAGUACAAAUUAAAACUGAGCCAUCAAACUGCAAUAAAUCUACAGUAGUGUUUCAUUUUAAAGACCUUUUGUACUGUACAUAGAUUUGUUCAAUAAAACAUUGUCUUUGUUGUUGAUAGAAACUGA